GCCGGGAGACGGGUCGCUGUUUGAUGCUCAAAAAAACCCUCCGGAGGGUGCGGGGGGGGUUUUGUGCCAACUGGGCUGACUGGUGCAGAUGUGCCCGGCAGCGGAGAUCUCCUCGCCGGGCUGAGGUGACUCCCGUGCGGGAUCGGUUUGCUCCGUCUGCGGCUGCUUCGUUUCAUGGUGGCUUUUCCCAGGAAAUGAAACCCCUCCUGGAUCCGGACGUGCUGGGUUUGUCCGAGCGUCCGGCCCUGAGCACGGCAUGGAUGGUCCCGACAUCUUCCUGGGUCCCUGCGAAGGUGCCCUCU